GACGAACGCUGGCGGCGUGCUUAACACAUGCAAGUCGAACGCGUGUAGCAAUACACGAGUGGCGCACGGGUGAGUAACGCGUGGAUAUCUGCCUUUUGGUUCGGAAUAACCCCGGGAAACUGGGGAUAAUACCGGAUGGUUCCUACGGGAUAAAGAUUUAUCGCCAAAAGAUGAGUCCGCGUACGAUUAGCUAGUUGGUGAGGUAAUGGCUCACCAAGGCGACGAUCGUCAGCUGGCUGAGAGGACGAUCAGCCACACUGGGACUGAGACACGGCCCAGACUCCUACGGGAGGCAGCAGUGGGGAAUAUUGGACAAUGGGCGCAAGCCUGAUCCAGCCAUGCCGCGUGAGUGAUGAAGGCCCUAGGGUUGUAAAGCUCUUUUGUGCGGGAAGAUAAUGACGGUACCGCAAGAAUAAGCCCCGGCUAACUUCGUGCCAGCAGCCGCCGUAAC
rnacentral:rRNA from 1 species